GCAUGGAAAAUAAUAUCUUGGUAUGCAAUGCUGCAACUCGGUUAAUGAGACCAGAUUGUUUUAUGUAUAAAUGCUAAUAAGCUACUGUUUUAUUAGGCCCCGAACUCUGACCACAAAGGGAAUAACGUCUGUCAAGUUAUUUGUGUUGGAAAAUCCCGAUUGGUUUUUUUGACUACCAGAAAGGAUUCUGGAGAACCACUGACGGCGAGAACAGCCCAAAUGAGAUCCUGGAUGAUCGUGAAAUGGUGUGGCCAGCCAUGCGAUCGGAUUGUGGGAUUUGCCUGAGAAACUGAUUCAAGCAACCCUGGAUUUCAGAUAAGCCCUAUGCACUACUUUUCCUACCCGGAUAAUAGGGUCUGCACACUGACAAUUCCCCUACAGUGCACCUGUUGGGUUUCAACGACUUUAAAGGACAAUUCAGACUGGACAAUUCAAACUUCACAAGAGGAACACUUUAAUCUGUUUCAUUCAUUCAAAAGAGCUCUGAUACAAUUCAGUAUAAGUCUUCCAUUUAAGUGUCUUUAUUUUAUUUUAUUUUGUUCUGUUUUACAUCUAUUCACCUUUAAAAUGCACUAUUAGUGUGCAAUUUGGUUUAUUGUGUUGUACAUGUUUAUGAAUGGUACUGAGGCAAUAAAGGUCCCAGUUAUUCACUUCCAAGCCAACUCUUUUUGUGAGUCUCCAAAACAAAACCUCCUUCUGAACCUAGUAAUAUGUCUAGGGUCUCUAUUUGAAGUGAAAGUGUACUGGUCCUGAGUAGAGGCGCUACAUUAAGA